UAACGACAGUGUGAGAAACAGAGCCAGCUUUCUUUGGAACUGUGGAAGAAGAGUGAGGGCAUCUUGAAAGUCUAAGGUUCUGGGGUGAAGAGAAAAGAGAGAAGCAGCAAACAGCACCAGAAAUCUUUGAUGAUCCUUUGCUUCAUGAACAAAGAGUGACUCUGUGAGACUCCCUGGGAUGCUACCAUUAUGAGAGGAGAUAAAAAUGAAGAGUGUGGUGUGACUGACACAUUCCUAAGUGCAUGGCUGAAUGUGUCCAGGAGAUGGCUGGAUUAAAGGAUGACUAUGCUGUGCUGCAGGACUCUGUUGUUCCUGUAAGGCUCACCUUGCUAGAAAGGAGCUAAGGUAACCUGGUCCUCUUGUGGAACACACAAGGGCAACUUAAGACCUGGAGGGGCUUUUACCCACUAACAACAUCAAGAGGCCUUUUACAACACGAGGUGGAGUUGGUAUUGGUCAGGACAGAGAAGUCACUCGCUGCCUCUGUUUAUCUUUCCAUUCUAAGGUGUCUUGCAUCCGUUCUUGGUUUGUGCACAGCUUUGGAGAACACGAGCUCUGGAUGUGAGCUGAAAGGUGGCUGGUAAAGAGGGCCUCCCCUCCCUGAGUUCUGGCUUCAGCAUCUGCCCACAGAUAUUUCCUGAAAUCUCAGGGAGCUCAGCCCGCACUGGCGAGAGAGUGUCCUCCCUGUUGGAUACAACUCAUCCCUGAGAUUAAGAGCAUCUGUCAACUGCAGGCACCAGACAAGUGAUGUGCAGAGAGAAGACUGAAAAAAAAAAAAAGAAGGAAACAGCAGCCAGAGAUUCUCUCUACAUCACCCUUCUCCCCUACGUCACUGGAAAUCCAAGGCUCAGAGAUGCGCUGGUUGGAACUUUCCAGUCUGCAGUCCCACCUGCCAUGGGCUAUAGAGGCAGAGGGACUGAGAGGGGCCAGGGAGGGCUCUUGCUUUCAUAGCAACCUUUCUUGUGAAGUUUCUGCCAGUGGUAGCAUCACUGAUCAAAUAUUCAUCAGACCAGCAAUGUGCCCAUCUCACUGAGCAAAGAUAAAAAUAAAUGACACACAUCUUCCUCCCAAGAAGCUCGUGGCCAAAUGCUUCAGUGCAAUAAGAUCUGAGCUAUUUGAAGGAUGUUUUCAGGACUGUAGGAGAAGUUGAUUUAGGAAGUUUCACAUUAAAAAGCCCUGCUCCCUCUUUUUUGAUACAUAAACAGCCAUAUUAAUCAUUAACAUUUACUGAUGCUUUCUCUGAAGUGGGCAAAGUUUUAAGUAGUUUAUGUGAAUUAACUCAGUUGAUCCUAUACUGAUCAAGACUCUAUUCUGGUGUGGAUAAGCAUGGACUAUAAUUAUUAUCCCCAUUUUAUAGAUAAGAAAAAAUCCCAGAGAUGCCAUGCAGCUUGCUCAUAGCACACAGUUUAUAAGUGGGGCAAAAUGGGAUUUGGACUUCAACAGUUUGGACUCAAAGACCUUAGUAACACAGGGGACCUGCUCAUCUGAACUUUCAGGGUUCUGUCUGGGGAAUUUUUGAGCAACUUCAGCUAAUGAUGUUGAGGUUGAUUUUGGCCCUUUGACUCCUUUCUGUACUCUGGUGAGUUGCAAGUUCUGAGUUUGGGUUGAUUUGCAGGGAAACUAAUUCAAUCUUAUGUGCAAGUACAACUGUAUGAUGGCUCUUUCUUGGCUUCCUGGGGAUCCCACUGUUGCUUUUAAGUGUGAUGAAUUUAUUCUGGUUUCAUAGGACAUCACUGGACCAACUAGCCAACCAUUUCCCUCAUAGGUGAGGGCUUUGAACUUUUUCAGAGUUUCACGGUUCACAAAAGCUUUUGUUCGCAAACAAUUUGGUUCAUAAACAGAAGUGUUUGGCAAAAUUUCAUUUUUGUUUUCAAACUCUACAUUGGGUGGGAAAGAUGGCUGUGGUCAUGUUUCCCACACAAACACAAAUGUCGCCAUCUUUUCCAAAAUUGUAGAACAAAUUAAGUUUGUGAACCGAGGUACCACUGUAUUAGAAAUGACAUCCCAUUACUUCUUUUUCCUAGAAAUGAGUCACCAUGUCCAGCCCACACUCAAAGGAGGGGGAAUUAUGGUUCCUCUUGAAUGGAGGAUCAUUAAAGACUUUGUUGGUAUCUCUUCUAAAACUGCUAGAGUAAUUUCACUCAGUUUCAAUUUGUCCUUUCCCUUGUAUUAUUAUUGGAUUUGUAUUUGUCUGGGCUGCACUGUUUAAAAAUGAAAAUUCUCUUCUCUUUUUUUUCCUUUUUCCCACCCUUGUAUCUCAGUACCCAACACACAGUUAUCACUUAAUAAAUAUUUAUUUAAUUAAUGAAUAAUCUUAAUUUAAAAAAAUCUUUGAUAAAAGAAGUCACAAUCAACUUUUGUAGAAUAUCAUUGAAUCUCAAUAUAUACAUGAACAUUCUUGCUGCUGGCCUUUUAAUUUCAGUUUGAGGGUAAGGCAUGGAGUCAGCAGUCCAUGAUUUUUUUCUUCAUUCAUUAAUCAAUCAUUUAUUGAGCACUUAUUCUAUGCUAAAAAGAGUGCCAGGUUCUGAGGAUGCAGAGAUUAAUAGCAUCCACAAUGCCUUUUAUAAAUUAAGAUGCCCAUGUUAAGUAUAUAAAGCAGUCUGGUGCUUUUUGAAUCAUCUUCAAACAUGAACGACAAUAGGCAGCUGUAUUAGAAUCAGACCCUUGAUAUUGAGUUUGCAGAAGCUGUUUUAUCAGCGCAGCAUGUUGCCCCAGCGAAGUGCAGUAUUUACAUUUCAUUCCAAAGUGGUUGUGCCAACAUCAAUCCUCUGGUUUUUGUACUUUUGGUCACUGUUUGCAAAUGUAUAAAAGGUUUUGUCAAAGGAGCUGGAUAAAGAUGGGAAGAGAAUGGCGUUACAUAUGACUAGCAGAGAUCGUAGAGUGGCUGAUGCUGGGAAGCAUUCUACUAAGGUCAGGGGGGCAUACGUGGAGAGCGAAGGUAAUGUGAAGAAAUGGAAUUGGGAACGAUGAAAUAGCAGCAAAGAUGGGCUUUAGCGGAAAUGAGUGCA
ensembl:lncRNA